rnacentral:rRNA from 1 species
CAAUAGCGUAUAUUAAAGUUGUUGCAGUUAAAAAGCUCGUAGUUGGAUUUGUGGCGUACGGUGGGUUCCGGGCACUUGUUGUCUGAGUAACUUGCUGUUGCCAUCCUUGGGUGGAACCUGUGUGGCAUUAGGUUGUCGUGCAGGGGAUGCCCAUCAUUUACUGUGAAAAAAUUAGAGUGUUCAAAGCAGGCUUAUGCCGUUGUAUAUAUUAGCAUGGAAUAAUGAGAUAGGACUUUUUUGCUAUUUUGUUGGUUUGCGCAAAGAGGUAAUGAUUAAUAGGGACAGUUGGGGGUAUUCGUAUUCCAUUGUCAGAGGUGAAAUUCUUGGAUUUUUGGAAGACGAACUACUGCGAAAGCAUUUACCAAGGAUGUUUUCAUUAA